GGAAUGAGUACAAUUUAAAUCCCUUAACAAGUAACAAUUAGAGGGGCAAGUCUGGUGCCAGCAGCCGCGGUAAUUCCAGCUCUAAUAGCGUAUAUUAAUAUUGUUGCAGUUAAAAAGCUCGUAGUUGAAAUUUGGGACUUUAUUAUAUUGGUUUAUCUUUUGAUGAACUGUAUAAUGGGUUUCUUCCUACUAGAGUUCGAUUCUGUUCUUAAUUGAAUGGAGUAGCUAUCUUUCGGGGUGGUCAAUUGGUUGUUAUAUCUCCACUAAUAAGCAGAGAGGGGUAAAACUCUCAAAGUAAGUUAUGUGGGUCAAGGUAUGAUGAUUAAUUGGAGUUCUAGUUCAUUUACUUUGAGAAAAUUAGAGUGUUUAAAGCAGCCUCUUGGGGCACUGAAUACAUUAGCAUGGGAUAAUAAAAUAGGAUCUUCACAAUAUAUUUAUUGGUUUAAAUUGGAUAUGAAGAUAAUGAUUAAUAGGGAC
rnacentral:rRNA from 1 species